rnacentral:rRNA from 1 species
GGUUUGAUCAUGGCUCAGAUUGAACACGCUGAGCAGGAUGCUUUACAUGCAAGUCGAACGGCAGCACGGACUUCGGUCUGGUGGCGGGUGGCGAACAGGUGAGUAAUGUAUCGGAACGUGCCUAGUAAUGAGGGGAUAUUACGCCCGAAAGCGUAUGUACCGCAUGCGCCCUUCGGGGAAGAAGCAGGGAUUCGAGAUAUCGUUUAUUAGAGCAACCGAUAUCGGAUUGAACUAGUUGGUGGGAGUAACGGCUCGCGAGGCGACGAUCCGUAGCUGGUUUAAGAAGGACGACCAACCACACUGGGACUGGACUACAGCCCAGCUCCUACGGGAGGCAGCAGUGAGGGAAUUUUGGACAAUGGGGGAAACCUGAUCAGCCAUCCCGCGUGUGCGAUAGAGGCCUUCCGGGUUGUAAAGCACUUUUGGCAGGAAAGAAACGGCACGGGAUAUUACCCAAUGCAACUGACAGGCUUUUCCUACAGAUCUUUAUUAACUACGUGCCAGCACAACCGCGGUAAUACGUAGGAAUGCAAGCGUUAAUCGGAAUUACUGGGCGUAAAGCGUGCGCAGGCGGUUCGGAAAGAAGAUGUGAAAUCCCAGAGCUUAACUUUGGAACUGCAUUUACAUUUUAACCACCAAACUAGAGUGUGUCAGAGGGAGGUGGAAUUCCGCGUGUAGCGAAGAUGAAAUGCGUAGAUAUGCGGAGGAACACCGAUGGCGAAGGCAGCCACUCACUGGGAUAACACUGGCGCUCAUGCACGAAAGCGUGGGGGAGCAAACAGGAUUGAAUGCCCUGGUAGUCCACGCCUAAACGUGUCAGCUAGCUGUUGGGGCCUUCGGGCCUUGGUAGCGCUAACGCGUGAAGUUGACCGCCUGAGUACGGUCAGCAAGAUUAAAACUCAAAGGAAUUGACAGGGACCCGCACAGGCGAUGGAUGAUGUGGUUAAUUCGAUGCAACGCGAAAGCCUUACCUACCCUUAAACAUGUACUGGAAUCGGGAAAGAUUUGGGAGUGCUCGCAGAGAACCAGAACACAGGUGCUGCAUGGCUGUCGAUCAGCUCGUGUCGUGAGAUGUUGGGUUAAGUCCCGCAGCUUGAGCGCAACCCCUUGUCGAUGGAUUGCUACGAAAGGGCGCUCUAAUGAGACUGCCGGUGACAAACCGGAGGAAGGUGGGGAUGACGUCAAGUCCUCAUGGCCCUUAUGGGUGAGGCCGUCAUACAAUGGUCGGGACAGAGGGUCGCCAACCCGCGAGGGGGAGCCAAUCCCAGAAACCCGAUCGUAGUCCGGAUCGCAGUCUGCAACUCGACUGCAUUAUGAAGUCGGAAUCGCUAGUAAUCGCGGAUCAGCAUGUCGCGGUGAAUACGUUCCCGGGUCUUGUACACACCGCCCGUCGCACCGUAGAAUUAGGCUUUGCAAGUAGUUAGCCUAACCGUAAGGAGGGCGAUUACAGUAGGAUUCAUGACUAGGGUGAAGUCGUAACAAAGGUAA